GGGACCGUCGUCUAACGGGAAGACUCCCGGUUUGCACCUGGAAAAUGAGGGUUCGACUCCCUCCGGCUUCCA
rnacentral:tRNA from 1 species